UUGUGUUCCCCAGGCUUGUCUUGAACUUUUGGCCUCAAACAGUCCUCAUACCUUAGCCUCCCAAAGUGCUGGGAUUACAGGCAUGAGCCGAAGCACCUGGCCCCGUGAACUUCUCUUUUAGUUCUUUGAUUAUCUUAAAAUAUGUGAUUUGUUAUAUCCUGUUAGUAGGUUAUUAACAUCCUAAAGUACUAAUACAUUUUCUAUCCAGUCAGUUAAAUAUUUUGAAGUGUUUUGGAAUGGUUGCAUGAAAUUUUUCUGUGAAAACUUUAAUUCUUUCUUUGUACAUAGUUUGGAAAUUAUAUCCUGAGUUUUCUAGAACAGUCUCGAUUUCAUGCUUAUUGAAAUAAUUACAACUGCGUGAGAUUAAGUAUUUGACUGCUUAUGGCUGCUGUGAAAGUAAUGCUUGUUGCAAAAUAAUUCAGAUGAUACAGAAGUAAAUAGUAAGAGUUAAUUUUUUUCUCUUUGUUUUUCAUUUUUCUGAUACUCCCCUUCAGAGACAUAUAUUAUCUACAGAUUUCCUCUCCACUGGCUGUCUACGUUACCUUCUUUUCUCUAAUUUUAUUUCUUAAUUUUCUCCUUCUGUAUUCUGUAUUUAUUGUUCAAACUAUUAUGUCAUUGAGUAUUAUUUCUUGAUCUUGUAGGUGUGCUUCAUUCUUUAUUAUUCUUUUUUCUUUUGUCUCCUGUAUGUAUUUUCAAAUAGCCUGUUUUCAACCUCACUAAUUCUUUCUUCUCCUUGGUUAAUUUUGCUGUUGAGAGGUUCUGAUGCAUUCUUCAGUAUGUCAAUUGAGUUUUUUAGCUCCAGAAUUUCUGCUUGAUUUUCAAAAAUUAUUUUAAUCUUUGUUAAAUUUAUCUGAUACGAUUAGACUUCCUUCUUUCUGUUAUCUUGAUGUUUCUUGAGCUUAAAAAUAAGUAUUUUAAGUUCUCUGUCUGAAAGGUCUCAUAUCUCUGUCUCUCCAAAAUUGAUCAUUGGCACUUUAUUUGGUUUGUUUGGUGAGGUCAUGUUUUCCUGGAUGGCCUUGAUUCUUGUGGAUGUUUGUUGGUUUCUGGGCAUUGAAAAGUUAGGUGUUUAUUGUAGUUUUCGCAGUCUGGGCUUCUUUGUACCCGUCCUUCUUGGAAAGGCUUUCCAAGUGUCUAAAGGACAUUGAGUGUUGUGAUCUAAGUCUUUGGUUGCUGCUGUAUCGCGUUGGGGACACCUGAAGCCAAGUAAUGCUGUGACUCUUAUAGACUUGUAAAGCUUUUGCCUUCGGGUCUUGAGUAAGGUCCAAGAGAAUUUCCUGGAUUACCAGGCAGAGAAUACCCUGGAUUACUCAGUUUCAUGCUGAGCUGCUUCAGGCUGGGAAAAAGGUAACACAAGCAUCCAUGUGGCCACCACUGUGACUCACUGGGUCAGACCUGAAGCCAGCACAUUACUUGGUCUUGUCUAAAGGAAACUGAGCAAGUUGUUCUAUAGGCCCCUGGGAGAUGCAUGCUGACGCCAGCAAUGGCCAGGGUGGGUCUACAUCUAGCUCCCCAGAUAGUGCACAUGGCAAAGGUGGCUGUCUGGGCAGAUUCAUCCUUAGGCUACUGGAAGGUGUGUAUGGCUUCUGGCACUGGCAGGCCAGUAGGAUCAAUCUCCAGGCUCCCAGAUAACAGGUGCCAGGUGUGGUGAGUCAGUUUCCAGGACCCUGGAGGAUGGGCAUAGGCAAUAUUGGUGGGCAUGGCUGGUCUGUCCCUAAGCUUUCUGAUGGUACAUGUGGGUGUGGGCACCAGCAGGUUGGAUGGUUUCAUCCCCAGGCCACCAGAUGUUGUGCUUGGAUAUCAGUAGCAGUGGGUUGGGUGUGCCUGUCCUUUGAUUCCUGGACAGGCAAGUGGUGUUGGCAGGUGUGUGUGUGCAAGUGGUGGUGACACCUGGGGUGGUCUUGUUGUCAGGCCCCCUAUCAUGAUAUGUGUUAUUAUCAAUGACAGCAGGUUGAGGCAGAUCAAUUCCCAGGCCUCCAGAUGACAACUGUGGCUGUGAUGGCAGUUUGUGUAGACUAUUCUUUCCCUUACUCCCACUCCCCCCAAAUAGAAUGUGGUUGCAGUGGAUGUGGACAGGGCAGGUUGAUACCCAGACCCUGGUUGUAAUGCUAUCCAUGUUGAUAUUUUAUUCUAGUUUAUAAAUGUUAACUGCUGUAUAGUAUAUUGUUUAGUGAAUAUUAAAUAAUGACCCUGCUAUGAAUAUUGCUUUUAUUUCUCCUUAUGUAUAGAUUUUAGAAUUUUAAAGUAGAUUGUUGAGUUACAGUUUAUGUACAUCGAUUUUCCCACUUAAUAUAAAAUUGUUCUUUAGAUUAUACUGUAAGAGAAUUUCUAUUUAUCUGAAGCCAAAUCCAUACUUGAUGGUUUCAUACUUGAAUUUUGCCAGUUGUGAAAUGUUAUCUUUGGUUGUGAAAUGUUAUCUCAUUAUCAUUUUUACUUACUUUUUGUCAUAAAAAGUGGUUUUUAUUUUUUAAAAAUUGCCUGUUCAAGUUAUUUUACUUUUCUUAUGUUAAUAAUAUAUCAUAUAUUAAUAAUAUGUAAAUAUAUACUUGUAUAUAUUAUAUAUAACAUUAAUGUUUCUUUUAUUUUGUCUUUUUCCUACUGCAAGAGUCCUUAUUCAGGACAUUCAAUUUUGUUGCAUAUUAGGUGUAUUGCAAAUAUAUUCUGCCACUCUUUGGUUUUUCUGUUAACUUUCUUUAGUGUGUCUUAUUGUGUAGAAUAGCUUAUUUUAGUCUUAAUGAAGUUGGGUUUUUCUGUUUUUGCUUUUGUAUUUUUUGCUUUUUUGUUUCACAUGAAAUUUUCAACUGACCUGUGGUCAUAUAAAAUUUCCUAUGGUUCCUUGUAGUAAUUUUAAAAUUUUAUUUUUUAAUUUACAUCUUUUAAUCAGCGGGGUUUGUUUUCAUGUGUAGUGUAAGGUAUGGCACUUCAUUUGUCUAACUGGUUCUCCCUGUACCCUUUGAAUUGUCUCUCUUCCCCUGUGAUUUAUAAUGCUCCCUGUGACAUAUUCAUGUAUCCAUAUAUGUUAGGACCUCUUUCUGGGCUCUCCUCUGUUCCAUUGGUUUGUUUAAAUUACAGUGGUUCUAAAAUAAAUCAUAAUGUGGGGUGGGGGUAAUUUCCCCACUUACUUUAUAUUUUGUGUUUGUUUGUAUAGAUAUUAUUCAAGUAUCUCUGAGAAUUCUAAAUAUAAUUAUUUUAAGAUUGUUUUAGGCUGUUCUAGAAGAUUAAUUUGAUUGUGACUUAAUUUUAUUGAUUUCCUUAGCUGUCUUAGCAUUAGAUUUCUUUGUGUGCUUUAGAAUUGUGGUUUGUAAGGUUAUUUUUAACAGAAAGGUCAUUAUUUCUCUAUUUCACCAUCUCUUCUCCUUGUCGUACUCAAGCCCUUCCUCUGCUAAUUGUUAGUUUUAUAGUUACUUCCUGUGUUUGAUAGUCUAGAAUCCAGUCUUAUCUUGACAGUUCAAGACUCUUGCAUUGUUGUAUUGAGUGACAGCAAAGCAUUGCUUAUCUCACUUCUUUUUUUUUUUUAGCAUCUUUAUUGAGAUAUAUAAUU